UGCUCUGCCCUAAUGAAGUUUGUACUUGCUUCUUAUUAUUCCAGUCUGGCCUCUGGUAUCGUUCAUGGCAUAUCUUGAGUGAAGUGCGACGAAGAGGUGACUCAAGUGGCCAGCAUUGAAGUGCGGCCCAUGCAAACGACAAGAGUAGAUUCUGAGACGAGGGCUUGCAAAGCGAGAGACAAAGUAAGUGAGAGGGGGACAGAGAGAGAGAGAGAGAGAGAGAGAGAAGCGCGCUCGCGCUUACAUUACGCACUGCGUUAAGUACUGAGUGCUUAGAAAUAUUUGUCUAUCACUCGAAAUUCGGAGGUUGCUUCAUCAUCAUCAUCAUCAUCAUUAUCGUCGUCGUCGUCGUCGUUGUCAGCACAUCAUAACUUCAAGUAUAGAAAAGUGCCUUGAUUUUGUUUCUGGCUUCGCCAACGUUUCGCUACAAUGGAAUAUUUUCUGAAGCGCUACAGCCAAAAGUGAGACAUCGUAAGACAUCAUGAUAAACAAGAUGCUUUCACUGUCAGGAACUUGGCAACAAGCUUCCGCUAAGUGCGACAAUUGAGAGAGAAAAAGUUUGCAAUUAAGCUAAUUUGAAUUGUAGGCUAAGCCCACAGAAUUAAG